rnacentral:rRNA from 1 species
GGACUACAGGGGUAUCUAAUCCUGUUCGAUACCUACGCUUUUGUGUCUCAGCGUCAGUAUAGGAAUGGGCGGCUGCUUUCGCCACUGAUAGUCCCUCGAAUAUUAUAAGAUUUCACCCCUACACUCGAGAUUCUGCCGCCCCCCACCUAACCCAAGCAAUAAAGUAUACUAAAGUUACAUCGCAUAGAUGCGCUAGUAAUUUUGUUUAGCACUUUUAUUGCCGCCUACACACGCUUUACACCCAGUCAAUACGAGUAACACUUGUCCUCUCCGUUUUACCGCGGCUGCUGGCAC